rnacentral:lncRNA from 1 species
CUUUCUUCCUUCUUUUCAUAAUUCUCUCGCACCACUCCAACGCUGACGUUGGCACCUCUUCCCGUUACUCCCCUCCAUAUUUACGUAAGUACCUUCAUCACCAAAAAUAUAUAUAUGUAAAUAUCUCAAACUAUAAACUCAUCAAUUAAUUCUUAAUUAUAUAUCUAUCAUAUUAUAUAGCCUCGGGGUGUUACGGCAACGAAGCCACGCAGUUUCCGUCGAGUAAUCUUUUUGCGGCGGCCGGAGAUGGAAUCUGGGACAAUGGAGCGGCGUGUGGGAGGCAGUACCUUGUGAGAUGUAUAAGUGCAGAGGAACCUAUGACUUGCAUUCCCGACCAGAGUAUUCAGAUUAAGAUUGUUGAUUACGCGGCAUCUGCGGUGUCGCCGCCCUCCACCGCCGGCACAACCAU